rnacentral:tRNA from 1 species
AGCCCCUUAGUACAGUGGCCAAGUAUACAAGGUUCUGGGCCUUGGGACCCAGGUUCGAAUCCUGGAGGGGCUA